UUUCGUUGAUGUCACCAGAACUUACUUGUAUUGUAAUAUACAGGUACUUCAUGUACCAUGAAAGAUUAUCAUGGUAAUUUCAUUUACGAAAACCUUGUAAUUGUCAUUUCACUUUUGCUAGCAGUUCCUUCUUCAAAGACUGAGGUGGAAAGAUUAUUCAGUGUUCUCAAAUUUAAAAACUGACAAAAGAAACAGGCUUUCUAAUGAAACCCUGAACGGCUUGCUUCAUAGAAAGUUCCCAACUUUGCCAGCAAACAAUUGCUCAAUUUUAGAACCGAACAGUGUUAGGUUGUGCAGCAAAAGAAUAUAAAAGCAAUGCGUCGACUUCCUUGAAAAUUCUAAUUCUAUAGAUCUAUGAUCUUCUGGGGGCGUUUAUAUUAUAUAUACCUACAUUAAAUAAUAUGCUGUGGUUUAUUUUCUGUAUUUUAUUUACGCUUUCUAUAUAAAGGAUUUAUGAAAGUUGUCUAGGAAAUUUUAGGGUAAAUUCAAAAGAAACUAGGGUAAAAUGUGUUAAAAAAAACGUAAGUGGAAACACUGCUUUGAAGUUUUCAAAAUUCCAGGGCCGUAAAACAAUCUCAAAAAAAAAAAAGUUUUCAAAAUGUCGUAACGAUUUAAUUUUUUAAAUCGUUUUUUUUUGUCUUGGUGUGAGUUAUUUUACGUUGUAGUAUUAAUUUAGAGCAACUUUUAGCUUUAUGAGAAUAUUAGACGAUUAGACAUUGAGAAACUCUGUUUUGAAUUCUCUUUAGACAUAACUUGGCUCCAAUACUUUUUUCUUCGUUAGCGUUUCGUAAGCCUGUGUAACUAUUUUCAUUUCUUACAGAAUGUUUAUUAUUAAAAAUCAGCAUGCCUCGAAGAUCGAAAAUGAAAUGCUAUUUCGGAUGCCUUGAUAACGACAAAGGUUUGAUAAUGACAAAAUUUUAUGGAAAAAUUAUAAGGAGCACUAAAAUGUCUGAAACAUGAAAAGAUUGAUGCACUAUAUUUGAACCAGAACGUGUUAUGUAAUAUAUUAAUUUAAGAGAAACUGAUUCAGCAAGGAACGUGAACUCUCAAGGGAUCUUAAUUUUUUUUAAAUAUGUUUAUAAUUGAUAAAUUAAUAAUUGAAAUUUUUUUUUUUUUUUUUUUUAAUUGCUUAGAUGAGUGGACGAGCUCACAGCCCACCUGAUGUUAAGUGGUUACUGGAGCCCAUAGACAUCUACAACGUAAAUGCGCCACCCACCUUGAGAUAUAAGUUCUAAGGUCUCAAUUAUAGUUACAACGGCUGCCCCACCCUUCAAACCGAAACGCAUUACUGCUUCACGGCAGAAAUAGGCAGGGUGGUGGUACCUACCCGUGCGGACUCACAAGAGGUCCUACCACCAGUAAUUACGCAAAUUAUAAUUUUGCGGGUUUCAUUUUUAUUACACGAUGUUAUUCCUUCACCGUGGAAAUCAAUCGUGAACAUUUGUUGAGUACGUAUUUCAUUAGAAAAAUUGGUACCCGCCUGCGGGAUUCGAACACCGGUGCAUCGCUCAACACGAAUGCACCGGACGUCUUAUCCGUUAGGCCACGACGACUUUUUGAAAUAGUUCAUAAGAACUAAAUUGAUGCCAAUUUUGUUUUAAAAUAGGUUGUUCAGUUCUUAUAGUUAUAGUAUUACGUUUGAAUAGUUGUAAUUAGUAAGUUAGUAAUAUAUGAAAAUACUGAUAUAAUUUUUUGUAAAUAACCUUUUGUAAAUUCUACGAGAAGAUGAUUUUAAUUAAUGAUCAAAAGUCAACGGUCUUUAAAAGCAUUAUUUGCAAUUAUUUAGAUUAACUGUGGAAUAUAUUUGCUAAGUUGUGUUUUCUGUAUGAGCAGAUAUAAAUGAAAAUGCCCAAACAUGAUUAUGUUUCUUACAUUUUCAUUAUGUGAAAUCAAUAUGCUUGUGACUGAGUAUAUUAAUAAUUUAUUAAAACUUAAGUGAUAGACAGCAACCCCUAUGGCACUGCUGAAGUUUAUAAGCACUGGUGACCACUUAUCAUGGGCCGGGUUGCGUGUUCGUCUGCUGUUGAGUGCAAUAAAAAUUUUCGAAACCCUUUCUAUUAUUUAGAUGUAAUAUUAAUGUACAUUUAAUUUGGAUUAAAAGAUAAAUUUACAUUUUAUGUUUGCAUGUGUAUGUUUAUAUUUCAUUUGCAUGUAACGAACACCAGUUUCUUUUGUAACAAAAUGUAAACUAAUGGUUUGUAAUGAAUGUAAUUAACUUUAAGAUGAUUUUCUUUCAAUCUGCUGUUUGUUUCAUCUAGUAUUACCAAAGCUAAAGCAUCAGAAACGUCAGAAUAGAAAUAAUUUAGAUAGGGAAUAAAAGUAUAACUAAUGUAAUCAUGUCUAAGAUUACUAUAAGCGUCAUUAAGUACAAACUAUCAAUAUUUAAGAGUACUUUAAAUCAUCAUUACAUUUUUUUAAAUUUUUUUGUUUUUUUUUUGUUUUUCAAAUCAUGUAAUAAAACGUUUGUGCAGAACAAAAUGUCACAUGUUAUGAACAUGAUUGUGGGUUAAUCGUUUCUUAAAUUUCUAAAUGUUUAUAAGAAUGCUAAGAAUAAUUUAGUAUUCACUUUAGUGUGUGUAUUAUCUCUACAAUGCUAGUAUAAAUGACAAUUAUUGUAUGACGAAGCAUAGGUAGUGUUUAUAGAUGUAAUAUUUUCAUACAAGGUCAUGAUCUGUCACGAUCAACUUUAAGCAAGAACUGCUAUAGUUAAGAAACAAAUUUAUUAAAUUUAAUUCAAAUUGUCUACUAUGUUUGUAAUGGAAAGCUGACAUGUUUAUAUUUCGCACAAAUGACUUAAGUGACAUUGAAUGAUUUGAUUAUCUAGACUUAAUUAACUUUUAGAUAACUUUCGAUUUAAUGUGUACGCUAGUAGGAUUAUUCUAGAGGAGUUAUUGUUAUUCGAAAUUUUAUACAAUUGUACGUUCAUACAAUCUUUUAACAGAAAAUUGUUUGUAAUAUAGGGAAAUUAAAUAGCUUACAGAGAA